AUGUCCCAUAUCUCGAAAAUGCUGCAGUAAAACGGUUUCAUAUGAAGGGCGCAUAUAGUACGUGACGUCCCUGAUAAGAACUGACCUUUGUUUUUUUCUACUUAUUAGAAAUGGUGUCUUUAUAGCCCUCUAAAGUGUAAAAAUGUCUCGUAUCUUAAAAAUGCUGCAGUAAAAUGGUUUCAUAUGAAGGGUGCAUAUAGUAUGGGACGUCCCUGAUAAGAACUGACUAUUGUUUUUUUCUACUUAUUAGAAAUGUUGUCUUUAUAGCCCUCUAAAUCAUUGUUUUGUCCCAUAUCUCAAAAAUGCUGCAGUAAAAUGGUUUGAUAUGGGGUGUGCAUAUAGUAUGGCAUGUCCUUUUUAAGAACUGACCAUUGUUUUUUUCUACUUAUCAGAAAUGGUGUCUUUAUAGUCCUCCAAAUCACCAUUUGGACCCAUAUCUCAAAAAUGCUGCAGUAAAAUGGUUUCAUAUGAAGGGUGCAUAUAGUAUGGGACGUCCCUGAUAAGAACUGACUAUUGUUUUUUUCUACUUAUUAGAAAUGGGAUCUUUAUAGCCCUUUAAAUUGUAAUAAUGUCCCAUAUCUCGAAAAUGCUGCAGUAAAAUGGUUUGAUAUGAGGUGUGCAUAUAGUAUGGCAUGUGCUUUAUAAGAACUGACCAUUGUUUUUUUCUACUUAUUAGAAAUGGGGUCUUUAUAGCCCUCUAAAUUGCCACAUGGACCCAUAUCUCAAAAAUGCUGCAGUAAAAUGGUUUGAUAUGAUUUGUGCAUAUAGUAUGGUAUGUCCUUUAUAAGAUCUGACCAUUGUUUUUUUCUACUUAUUAGAAAUGGGAUCUUUACAGCCCGUUAAAGUGUAAUAAUUUCCCAUUUCUGGAAAAUGCUGCAGUAAAAUGGUUUGAUAUGUGAUGUGCUCAUAGUAUGGGACGUCACUGAUGAGAACUGACCAUUAUUUUUUUCUAUUUAUUAGAAAUGGUGUCUUUAUAGCCAUCGAAAUCACCAUUUGGACCCAUAUCUCAAAAAUGCUGCAGUAAAAGGUUUUGAUAUGAGGUGUGCAUAUAGUAUGGGACAUCCCUUAUAGGAACAGACUAUUGUUUUUUUCUACUUAUUAGAAAUGGUGUCUUUAUAGCCAUCUAAAUCAUUGUAUUGUCCCAUAUCUUAAAAAUGCUGCAGUAAAAUGGUUUCAUAUGAAGUGUGCAUAUAGUAUGGGAUGUCCCUGAUAAGAACUGACUAUUGUUUUUUUCUACUUAUUAGAAAUGGUGUCUUUAUCGCCUUCUAAAUCAUUGUAUUGUCCCAUAUCUCAAAAAUGCUGCGGUAAAAUGGUUUCAUAUGAAGGGUGCAUAUAGUAUGUGACGUCCCUGAUAAGAACUGACUAUUGUUUUUUCUACUUAUUACAAAUGGUGUCUUUAUAGCCCUCUAAAUCAUAGUAUUGUCCCAUAUCUGAAAAAUGCUGCAGUAAAAUGGUUUGAUAUGGGGUUUGCAUAUAGUAUGGCAUGUCCUUUGUAAGAACUGACCAUUGUUUUUUUCUACUUAUUAGAAAUGAUGUCUUUAUAGCCCUCCAAAUCACCAUUUGGACCCAUAUCUCAAAAAUGCUGCAGUAAAAUGCUUUGAUAUGAGGUGUGCAUAUAGUAUGGGACGUGCCUUAUAGGAACAGACCAUUGUUUUUUUCUACUUAUAAGAAAUGGGAUCUUUAUAGCCCUUUAAAGUGUAAUAAUGUCCCAUAUCUCGAAAAUGCUGCAGUAAAAUGGUUUGAUAUGAGGUGUGCAUAUAGUAUGGCAUGUCCUUUAUAAGAACUGACCAUUGUUUUUUUCUACUUAUUAGAAAUUAUGUCUUUAUAGCCCUACAAAUCACCAUUUGGACCCAUAUCUCAAAAAUGCUGCAGUAAAAUGGUUUGAUAUGAUUUGUGCAUAUAGUAUGGUAUGUCCUUUAUAAGAUCUGACCAUUGUUUUUUUCUACUUAUUAGAAAUGGGAUCUUUACAGCCCGUUAAAGUGUAAUAAUUUCCCAUUUCUGGAAAAUGCUGCAGUAAAAUGGUUUGAUAUGUGAUGUGCUCAUAGUAUGGGACGUCACUGAUGAGAACUGACCAUUAUUUUUUUCUAUUUAUUAGAAAUGGUGUCUUUAUAGCCAUCGAAAUCACCAUUUGGACCCAUAUCUCAAAAAUGCUGCAGUAAAAGGUUUUGAUAUGAGGUGUGCAUAUAGUAUGGGACAUCCCUUAUAGGAACAGACUAUUGUUUUUUUCUACUUAUUAGAAAUGGUGUCUUUAUAGCCAUCUAAAUCAUUGUAUUGUCCCAUAUCUUAAAAAUGCUGCAGUAAAAUGGUUUGAUAUGAGGUGUGCAUAUAGUAUGGGACGUCCCUGAUAAGAACUGACUAUUCUUUUUUUCUACUUAUUAGAAAUGGGAUCUUUAUAGCCCUUUAAAGUGUAAUAAUGUCCCAUAUCUUGAAAAUGCUGCAGUAAAAUGGUUUGAUAUGAGGUGUGCAUAUAGUAUGGGACGUCCCUGAUAAGAACUGACUAUUCUUUUUUUCUACUUAUUAGAAAUGGGAUCUUUAUAGCCCUUUAAAGUGUAAUAAUGUCCCAUAUCUUGAAAAUGCUGCAGUAAAAUGUUUUGAUAUGAGGUGUGCAUAAAGUAUGGGAUGUCCCUGAUAAGAACUGACUUUAGUUUUUUUCUACUUAUUAGAAAUGGGAUCUUUAUAGCCCUUUAAAGUGUAAUAAUGUCCCAUAUCUUGAAAAUGCUGCAGUAAAAUGGUUUCAUAUGAAGGGUGCAUAUAGUAUGUGACGUCCCUGAUAAGAACUGACCUUUGUUUUUUUCUACUUAUUAGAAAUGGUGUCUUUAUAGCCCUCUAAAGUGUAAAAAUGUCUCGUAUCUUAAAAAUGCUGCAGUAAAAUGUUUUGAUAUGAAGUGUGCAUAUAGUAUGGGACGUCCCUGAUAAGAACUGACUAUUCUUUUUUUCUACUUAUUAGAAAUGGGAUCUUUAUAGCCCUUUAAAGUGUAAUAAUGUCCCAUAUCUCGAAAAUGCUGCAGUAAAACAGUUUCAUAUGAAGGGUGCAUAUAGUACGUGACGUCCCUGAUAAGAACUGACCUUUGUUUUUUUCUACUUAUUAGAAAUGGUGUCUUUAUAGCCCUCUAAAGUGUAAAAAUGUCUCGUAUCUUAAAAAUGCUGCAGUAAAAUGGUUUCAUAUGAAGGGUGCAUAUAGUAUGGGACGUCCCUGAUAAGAACUGACCGUUGUUUUUUUCUACUUAUUAGAAAUUAUGUCUUUAUAGCCCUCCAAAUCACCAUUUGGACCCAUAUCUCCAAAAUGCUGCAGUAAAAUGGUUUGAUAUGAUGUGUGCAUAUAGUAUGGGACGUCCCUGAUAAGAACUGACUAUUCUUUUUUUCUACUUAUUAGAAAUGGGAUCUUUAUAGCCCUUUAAA